rnacentral:lncRNA from 1 species
CCAAAGUGUCCCAGACAUUCAACCAGAUACAAAUGGACCACAGGGACUUGGACAUGCUCAAGAGGAGCAGCUGCACCUUCUUGAAUCACAAUCCAAGGCCUCUCCCAAUGGCAAGCCAAGACUUCAAACAGAGGAUCUCUCUGGGGCCAUCUGGAGCUAGAAGCUAGAGACAGAAUUUAUUCCUGGAGACCCAGAGAACCAGGCCAGACAGAGUCUCUCACUGAGGCAUGGAAUUCACCAGUUAGUCAAGACUGACUGCCACUGACCUCUGAAGAACAUCCCUGCUCUCUCUGACAAGCUCUGGGGUCUUAAGUGCCUGUCACCAUGCCUGCCUUCUCACGUGGGUACAGGGAUUGGAACCUGGGUUAUCAUUCCUACAUGGCAAGCACUUCACCAACUGAGUAUUCCCCUCAGUGCCUUCCAAGGCUUUGAACGUGACAUUUCAGGAAAACAUUUAUUGAGUAAUCCUCAUCAGGCUGGGCACAGAUCUCUUGACAAAGUAAGAAUGCUAAUAACAUUAUUUGGGACUCCAGCUUUGACGUUUCCAACAAUUUCUGGUGCUCGGCUUAACAUACUGAAAAUACUCUCCUACUUCCAACAGAAGUGACA